UUUAAGCAGGAAAUAGAAUUUA
rnacentral:miRNA from 1 species